AUGGUUUGCACAUGUUGGCCCUGACUGAUCCCCCUUGGCUGACAGAAAAGGGUCAAUUAAAUUAACAUAAAUAUUUCAAAACUCAGGUGACUGUUAAGGCCCAGGGGCCUGUUGUUUGUUGGUGCAAUUUUAGCUAAUUAUCCUUAGAUUUUCUCCAGAAAAUACAAGGCAACUUUUAUAUAUAUAUACUGCUAAAAUAAAAGUUGCUUCUUUUAAUGUUUAAAUUUCUUUAGUUUUACCAAAAGUUUGACAUAUUUUUUGCAGAAAUUAUGAAACAGACAUGAUUUCCUCUAUACAUUUCAUAAUCAGGCUAUCUCAGUAUUAUAAAUAUCAGUUCCCAUCUUUAUUACUUAAAAACUAAACCGCCAUUCAAUCAUUAGUUUGGGCAGAAGUAUGUUACUAAACAAGGGAGGUACAUGUGACUAUGUUACUAAACAAGGGAGGUACAUGGGACUGUUACUAAACAAGGGAGGUACAUGUGACUAUGUUACUAAACAAGGGAGGUACAUGUGACUGUUACUGAACAAGGGAGGUACAUGUGACUGUUACUAAACAAGGGAGGUACAUGUAACUAUGUUACUAAACAAGGGAGGUACAUGUGACCAUGUUACUAAACAAGGGAGGUACAUGUGACUGUUACUAAACAAGGGAGGUACAUGUGACUAUGUUACUAAACAAGGGAGGUACAUAUGACUAUGUUACUAAACAAGGGAGGUACAUGUGACUGUUACUAAACAAGGGAGAUACAUGUGACUGUUACUAAACAAGGGAGGUACAUGUGACUGUUACUAAACAAGGGAGGUACAUGUAACUGUUACUAAACAAGGGAGGUACAUGUGACUGUUACUAAACAAGGGAGGUACAUGUGACUAUGUUACUAAACAAGGGAGGUACAUGUGACUGUUACUAAACAAGGGAGGUACAUGUGACUGUUACUAAACAAGGGAGGUACAUGUGACUGUUACUAAACAAGGGAGGUACAUGUGACUGUUACUAAACAAGGGAGGUACAUGUAACUAUGUUACUAAACAAGGGAGGUACAUGUGACUGUUACUAAACAAGGGAGGUACAUGUAACUAUGUUACUAAACAAGGGAGGUACAUGUGACUGUUACUAAACAAGGGAGGUACAUGUGACUGUUACUAAACAAGGGAGGUACAUGUGACUAUGUUACUAAACAAGGGAGGUACAUGUGACUGUUACUAAACAAGGGAGGUACAUGUAACUAUGUUACUAAACAAGGGAGGUACAUGUGACUGUUACUAAACAAGGGAGGUACAUGUGACUGUUACUAAACAAGGGAGGUACAUGUGACUGUUACUAAACAAGGGAGGUACAUGUGACUGUUACUAAACAAGGGAGGUACAUGUAACUAUGUUACUAAACAAGGGAGGUACAUGUGACUGUUACUAAACAAGGGAGGUACAUGUGACUGUUACUAAACAAGGGAGGUACAUGUGACUAUGUUACUAAACAAGGGAGGUACAUGUAACUAUGUUACUAAACAAGGGAGGUACAUGUGACUGUUACUAAACAAGGGAGGUACAUGUAACUAUGUUACUAAACAAGGGAGGUACAUGUGACUGUUACUAAACAAGGGAGGUACAUGUGACUGUUACUAAACAAGGGAGGUACAUGUGACUGUUACUAAACAAGGGAGGUACAUGUGACUUACUAAACAAGGGAGGUACAUGUGACCAUGUUACUAAACAAGGGAGGUACAUGUGACUGUUACUAAACAAGGGAGGUACAUGUGACUAUGUUACUAAACAAGGGAGGUACAUGUGACUAUGUUACUAAACAAGGGAGGUACAUGUAACUAUGUUACUAAACAAGGGAGGUACAUGUGACUGUUACUAAACAAGGGAGGUACAUGUAACUAUGUUACUAAACAAGGGAGGUACAUGUGACUGUUACUAAACAAGGGAGGUACAUGUGACUGUUACUAAACAAGGGAGGUACAUGUGACUGUUACUAAACAAGGGAGGUACAUGUGACUGUUACUAAACAAGGGAGGUACAUGUGACUGUUACUAAACAAGGGAGGUACAUGUGACUAUGUUACUAAACAAGGGAGGUACAUGUAACUAUGUUACUAAACAAGGGAGGUACAUGUGACUGUUACUAAACAAGGGAGGUACAUGUGACUGUUACUAAACAAGGGAGGUACAUGUGACUAUGUUACUAAACAAGGGAGGUACAUGUAACUAUGUUACUAAACAAGGGAGGUACAUGUGACUGUUACUAAACAAGGGAGGUACAUGUAACUAUGUUACUAAACAAGGGAGGUACAUGUGACUGUUACUAAACAAGGGAGGUACAUGUGACUGUUACUAAACAAGGGAGGUACAUGUGACUGUUACUAAACAAGGGAGGUACAUGUGACUUACUAAACAAGGGAGGUACAUGUGACCAUGUUACUAAACAAGGGAGGUACAUGUGACUGUUACUAAACAAGGGAGGUACAUGUGACUAUGUUACUAAACAAGGGAGGUACAUGUGACUAUGUUACUAAACAAGGGAGGUACAUGUAACUAUGUUACUAAACAAGGGAGGUACAUGUGACUGUUACUAAACAAGGGAGGUACAUGUGACUGUUACUGAACAAGGGAGGUACAUAUGACUAUGUUACUAAACAAGGGAGGUACAUGUAACUGUUACUAAACAAGGGAGGUACAUGUGACUAUGUUACUAAACAAGGGAGGUACAUAUGACCAUGUUACUAAACAAGGGAGGUACAUGUGACCAUGUUACUAAACAAGGGAGGUACAUGUGACUGUUACUAAACAAGGGAGGUACAUGUGACUAUGUUACUAAACAAGGGAGGUACAUGUAACUAUGUUACUAAACAAGGGAGGUACAUUUGACUGUUACUAAACAAGGGAGGUACAUGUGACUUACUAAACAAGGGAGGUACAUGUAACUAUGUUACUAAACAAGGGAGGUACAUGUGACUGUUACUAAACAAGGGAGGUACAUGUAACUGUUACUAAACAAGGGAGGUACAUGUGACUAUGUUACUAAACAAGGGAGGUACAUGUGACCAUGUUACUAAACAAGGGAGGUACAUGUGACUAUGUUACUAAACAAGGGAGGUACAUGUGACUAUGUUACUAAACAAGGGAGGUACAUGUGACUAUGUUACUAAACAAGGGAGGUACAUGUGACUAUGUUACUAAACAAGGGAGGUACAUGUAACUGUUACUAAACAAGGGAGGUACAUGUGACUGUUACUAAACAAGGGAGGUACAUGUGACUAUGUUACUUAACAAGGGAGGUACAUGUGACUAUGUUACUAAACAAGGUAGGUACAUGUGACCAUGUUACUAAACAAGGGAGGUACAGGUGACUAUGUUACUAAACAAUGUAGAUACAUGUUACUAUUGUAAUUGGAAAGGCUCAUUCAAUAUUGACACUACCUAAUUUAAAACAAUUUAAAGAUAUAAUUACAACAUCCUUUCUUUAUUUCUUUUUUUUCUAUAAUCGAAAUAAUAAUGAAAAAUAACCCUUUGGCAUUAAGAACAUUUUACAGUAUUUUAAUUUCCUUAUCCGAGUUGGUUGUAAUAUCAAAAUGAUAUAAUGAUUUUCAUUGAUCUGUCUUGUUUAUGUCCAUGCAGUCAAUUCCAUUUCAUUGAUAAAAUCAUAUUUUGUCUAUGAAAAAUGCAAUCUUAAUACUUAAAAAUAAAUAAAUAAAAAAAACCAAUCAUAUACACACGUAUUCCAAAUUUGUAUUAAAACAUCAACAGGGUACAUGUUUUACCUUGAUUUCUGAUCAGCCUUAAAUUUUCUGGAACCAGCAAGUCUUAAGUCAAGUAACCAAGCGUCCUACCACUAAACCACUGUGCCUCCUUAUUAGUGUAUCAUAUUACCAGAUAUAAGUACAUGUGUCUUGCUCACAUACAUGUAAUUGUGCUACAAUGUAAGUUCCUGUGCAGCAUUGUGGACCAAAAGCUGGUUGGGAAUUUCAAAUACACAGAGUCAGAUUAGACAGGUUUUUACUGUUCUGUGUUCUGCAGUGUUCAGUUGAAUGUAAAUUGGAGAUCACAUUGGAUCAACUUUUAUUAUUAGGGGAUUUCUGAUGAUAUCUAAAAGCAUGAUUAUGUCUUUAAAUUGUUGAAUCUCGAAUAAAAUGAUAUAAAGUAUGCUG